rnacentral:rRNA from 1 species
CCUACGGGGGGCUGCAGUAAGGAAUAUUGGUCAAUGGACGAAAGUCUGAACCAGCCAUCCCGCGUGCAGGAUGAAAGCCCUAUGGGUUGUAAACUGCUUUUAGCAGAGAAGAAAAGCUUUCAUUAAUGAGAGUCUGACGGUAUCUGCAGAAUAAGCACCGGCUAACUCCGUGCCAGCAGCCGCGGUAAUACGGAGGGUGCGGGAGUUAUCCGGUAUUAAUGGGUUUAAGGGGGACGUAGACGGCAGUUUUGAAAUCUUGUCGCUUAACGAUAAAAGUGCCAAUGAUAAUGGUACUCUUGAAGUGGGUUGAGGUUAGCGGAAUGUGACAUGUAGCGGUGAAAUGCAUAGAUAUGUCAUGGAACACCAAUUGCGAAGGCAGCUAACUGGGCCUUGAUUGACGCUGAGGCACGAAAGCGUGGGUAGCGAACAGGAUUAGAUACCCUUGUAGUC